GACGGAGGGUGCUAGCGUUGUCCGGAAUCACUGGGCGUAAAGGGCGCGUAGGCGGCUUUGGCAGUCGACUCGUGAAAGCCCGGGGCUCAACCCCGGAGGUGCGGCCGAUACACCAAGGCUGGAGGCCGGAAGAGGAGGGUGGAAUACCCAGUGUAGAGGUGAAAUUCGUAGAUAUUGGGUGGAACACCGGUGGCGAAAGCGGCUCUCUGGUCCGGUUCUGACGCUGAGGCGCGAAAGCGUGGGGAGCAAACAGG
rnacentral:rRNA from 1 species